CUCACUGCCAAGCAGGGAAGUGAUGAGCACAAACCCCCAGGCUGACACAUCUGUACGCUGGAGUCCCAGUCCCAAAAGCUGUUGCAUGCACUGCCCCUGCCAUGGGUGUUGGCUGAAGCAUCCACCAGCAGGAAGGGUCACAUUGUGGUUGAUUUAGUGGUACUUCACUCAAGUGGACCCUAAUGUUUGUCUUGGAGCUCCUGGUGUGCAUGUUUCAUCCAAUGACCCCCAAACCACCUUUCCGUCUGCCACUCUGGGUGCUGUCUUGCUGGCCAGAUAUCAUGCCCUACAUUUUAUUUCUCUGAUAACAUGUUCUGAUAGGUUUUUUUCUUCCUUCUUGUUUUCUUCACAGAUUUAUCUGGAAAGUAUGACUGACAGGAGCAGCUUACUCACCAUUAGAUAAGUAUUGCAGAUGACUCAUGCUGGAGUAUUGAUAGCUGCUGCUGAGAUGGAUGUCCUGUUUUAUAACAGCUGUAGUGUGAUGCCAAGAGCCAGGAACCUUAAUUUCACUAUCCAUGCUUUUCCAUGAGUGUGCUUUGGGUCUCUGGCACCUUUUCUCCUUGGUUUGUCCAUCUAAAGGGUUCACAGGGAGGGGAGGUUUUGCUUCCCUCAGUGGGGUGCAGGGUAUGGGGCAGCUCAUGCCACCUUGAAAUGAAAGCUAGUGUUGAAAGGCUGCAGCUUUUAUAGCUGUUCUCCAGGACAUGCAAUAUUUGUCUUUUUAAUAGAUGCCAUUAGUGACUUUCCUCGAUUCUUUGCGUUUUUUUUGUUUUGUUUGUGUUUUUUCAGAGCCAUUAUACCCCUUCUUCAGCAGAACUAACCAGAAGGUGUAGAAACAGAUUUUCUAAGUAUGGAAGCUCUCCUGAGGAGCUGCAUUAUUCGCUGCUGCCCCUGGGAUGGGACACAGAGCAAGGAGUGAAGAAGAGCUGCGAUGUGCCACUGCUUUUGACAGAUGCUAUUUCCUGUUAGAGAUGCUUUGUAUGCAAAUCAAGGUGGUACAACAAGAAAAAAGUCCUGAAAGCAAUCACACCGAUAAACUCAGCCCACUGGGGAAUUCCUACUUAUCAUUUAUCUUUUGUUUUUUCAGUUCUGUACAAGAUACUUCUUUGCCUGUGCUUUCUUACAGUCUUUAAUGUUUGUCCUGCCAGACCUCUUGCUUAUGAACUAUAGUGCUUGUGCUGGGCUCCAUGCAUUUUGCAGGGCUGCACAAAUAAAAGGCAGUAAGUGCUGGAAAUUGGGGUUAAC
rnacentral:lncRNA from 1 species